rnacentral:rRNA from 1 species
AGAGUUUGAUCAUGGCUCAGGACGAACGCUGGCGGCGUGCCUAACACAUGCAAGUCGAACGGAGAAUUCCAAGAGGUAACUUGAGGAAUUCUUAGUGGCGGACGGGUGAGUAACGCGUGGGUAACCUGCCCAUAAGUUCGGGACAACCCUUGGAAACGAGGGCUAAUACCGGAUAAGCUUUGCCUGCGGCAUCGCAGGAGAAGGAAAGGUGGCCUCUGAAGAUGCUACCGGUUAUGGAUGGACCCGCGUCUGAUUAGCUGGUUGGUGGGGUAAAGGCCUACCAAGGCGACGAUCAGUAGCCGGCCUGAGAGGGUGAACGGCCACACUGGGACUGAGACACGGCCCAGACUCCUACGGGAGGCAGCAGUGGGGAAUCUUCCGCAAUGGACGCAAGUCUGACGGAGCAACGCCGCGUGUAUGACGAAGGCCUUCGGGUUGUAAAGUACUGUCUUUGGGGACGAACGGCUCUAGUGUAAAUAAUGCUGGAGUGUGACGGUACCCAAGGAGGAAGCCCCGGCUAACUACGUGCCAGCAGCCGCGGUAAUACGUAGGGGGCAAGCGUUGUCCGGAAUCAUUGGGCGUAAAGGGCGCGUAGGCGGGUAAUUAAGUCUGGUGUGAAAGGUGAGGGCUCAACCCUCAAAUUGCACCGGAAACUGGUUAUCUUGAGGACA